CGUGAUGACAGUAUGUUGAGGCGACACAUAGGCACCAAGAGAUACUACUGCUCUGAAAGGGCUGCUGUGCGAGGUAAUCUGUUUUUGGAGCUUAACAUCACUAGCAUAUGACAUCAUCAGUAAUGAAGUUAGCAAAGCUGUCUCGUCAAAGCUGGAUGUCAACUGCUCCGUGCAGACAGUGAUGGCGGGAGUUUGACGCUGCAGUGAAGCAAUCAUGAAUCAUUUUCAACAUCAGGAAACCGAGUGAACACCUUGACCAUCAACACACCAAAACUGCAUGUGACUGCUGGCUGUGGAGUCUGACCUGCUGAGAGGAGUAUGAGUUUGCAAACACACAGUUAAAGAAGCUCUUGCAAAGAUCUGGAACCAGUCUGGUCCCAUCUUCCAGGGUCUUGAGAAACUCAACCUGGAACUCCACCAUUUCCGGCAAGUUCCCGAACAGUACAUCCAGCUGGAGGAAAAGGGGAUUAGAGCAAAGUCAAAAUAC